rnacentral:rRNA from 1 species
CCUACGGGGGGCAGCAGUGGGGAAUAUUGGACAAUGGGGGCAACCCCGAUCCAGCCAUGCCGCGUGUGUGAAGAAGGCCCUCGGGUUGUAAAGCACUUUCAGUGAGGAAGAACGCCUGGUGGUUAAUACCCAUCAGGAAAGACAUCACUCACAGAAGAAGCACCGGCUAACUCCGUGCCAGCAGCCGCGGUAAUACGGAGGGUGCGAGCGUUAAUCGGAAUUACUGGGCGUAAAGCGCGCGUAGGUGGCUUGAUAAGCCGGUUGUGAAAGCCCCGGGCUCAACCUGGGAACGGCAUCCGGAACUGUCAAGCUAGAGUGCAGGAGAGGAAGGUAGAAUUCCCGGUGUAGCGGUGAAAUGCGUAGAGAUCGGGAGGAAUACCAGUGGCGAAGGCGGCCUUCUGGACUGACACUGACACUGAGGUGCGAAAGCGUGGGUAGCAAACAGGAUUAGAUACCCCAGUAGUC